rnacentral:rRNA from 1 species
GGAAACCGACACAGGUGGACUGGUAGAGCAUACCAAGGCGCUUGAGAGAAUGAUGUUGAAGGAACUCGGCAAAUUGCCCUCGUAACUUCGGAAGAAGAGGGCCCUUGUCUUGGGCAACCAGGAUGAGGGGGCACAGAGCAGGGGGUGGCGACUGUUUACCAAAAACACAGGGCUCUGCGAAGCCAACAGGCGACGUAUAGGGUCUGACGCCUGCCCGGUGCCGGAAGGUUAAGAGGAGGGGUGCAAGCUCUGAAUCGAAGCCCCGGUAAACGGCGGCCGUAACAAUAACGGUCCUAAGGUAGCGAAAUUCCUUGUCGGGUAAGUUCCGACCUGCACGAAUGGCGUAACGACUUCCCCGCUGUCUCCAACAUCAACUCAGCGAAAUUGAAUUCCCCGUGAAGAUGCGGGGUACCCGCGGUUAGACGGAAAGACCCCAUGCACCUUUACUACAGCUUUGCAGUGGUAUUAGGGGAUGGAUGUGUAGGAUAGGUGGGAGCCUAUGAAGCGGUGGCGCUAGCCAUCGUGGAGGCAACCUUGAAAUACCGCCCUUCUGUUCUCUGAUCUCUAACUGAGGCGUCUGAAGCGACGCCCAGGACCCUGCAUGGCGGGUAGUUUGACUGGGGCGGUCGCCUCCCAAAGAGUAACGGAGGCGCGCGAUGGUGGGCUCAGGCUGGUCGGAAAUCAGCCGCUGAGUGCAAUGGCACAAGCCCGCCUGACUGCGAGACAGACAAGUCGAGCAGAGACGAAAGUCGGCCAUAGUGAUCCGGUGGUUCCACGUGGACGGGCCAUCGCUCAACGGAUAAAAGGUACGCUGGGGAUAACAGGCUGAUGACUCCCAAGAGUCCAUAUCGACGGAGUCGUUUGGCACCUCGAUGUCGGUUCAUCACAUCCUGGGGCUGGAGCAGGUCCCAAGGGUAUGGCUGUUCGCCAUUUAAAGUGGUACGUGAGCUGGGUUCAGAACGUCGUGAGACAGUUCGGUCCCUAUCUGCCGUGGGUGUUGGAGAUUUGCGAGGCGCUGUCCCUAGUACGAGAGGACCGGGAUGGACGCACCUCUGGUGUACCGGUUGUCGCGCCAGCGGCACCGCCGGGUAGCUAUGUGCGGACGAGAUAACCGCUGAAGGCAUCUAAGCGGGAAACUCACCUCAAAACCAGAUCUCCCUGAAGAGCCGUGGAAGACCACCACGUCGAUAGGCCAGGUGUGGAAGCGCAGCAAUGCGUGGAGCUAACUGGUACUAAUCGCUCGUUCGGCGAAAAG